CCCCCCCCCCCCCCCAAUCUUUUGAACCGGGUCACAAGGCCGAGAAGUUGCGCGCGCAGAAGGGGGGGGGGAAUGAUGUCAGGUCACAACAUUAAAGAAACGGUAACCAGGUUUUGCUUUCUGAUUUCUUUUAUGCUUACAUCGCUUUGUUUCUGGUACAUCAUGCAUAAUAGCAGAUUUGCAUGGUACUGAAAUAGUUAAGUGAAAACUUGCAUAGUACGACACUGCUUGAUCUACACAUAGGUUCAAUGAUGAAGACGAGCAAUAGUUGUAGCCUAUAGCGCAACAUCACGAGAUAGGAGAACCCCUCGGUUACAGUUAGACAGCUAAGAACCUAAUAUUGUACAAGGCCACACUGAUUUCUCCCUUACCUAGAGGAAGAAUGCCUAUCAGAACAGAUCAUCAUAAGCGACUAUUUCUCGUGCUUUGUGGAUCACUUGUGAAGCUAUUCUGGAGCUUGGGGUGGCCAAAGCAUCACUCGUGAUAUUGUUACUCGCAUCUGCUGGGACUGAUGGAACUACACUUGUCGGAUUAUUUGGCACCUCACUUGCCUGUACAACUAAAACCUGUAUCGAACAAAAGAAACAUCAAUCUGAGUACGAAAAGUUGGCAAAUAAAGUGCAAUCAAGACACAGUAUACAUCUGAAACCCACAACCCUAUGCUUCAUAUGAAUUGAGCAACAAUCUCAUCGACAUCAAUAGAGCCUAUACUGAAAAAGGCUUUCCCCUGCUUUAUAGAUAAAGCCACAACGGUGAUACAAAAUUCGAGCAGCCCCAAGCAAAAGAAAACAAAUAAAGUUUACACUGGGGGCAACGGCACAACAAGCCCACAAAAAGUCUCAGGGAGGAUAGGUAGCUCAUAUAUAUCUGAGAUAUAAAUGCUUAAUUCGGUUCUGUAUUAAUUUUUACAAGUCCUGGCAUUUUAAUCAGUUAUUGUUACUGCUAUGAAGCACAGCAUAUGAAAUAGUCGAUCCAACUUUGCAGAGGUAGAUGAGCAUGCACAUUGAUUAUAUUAAGAAAAUCUAGAAUGCUUGGGUAAAUAAAAUAAAAAAUCAAACUACAAGUGAAUGAUAAAAGUGAACAACCAGAUUGGGUUUCACAUGUUGGAACUGAGCUAAAACCUGCCAAAUAAUAUGAACCUAAAAGGGCGAAUUGGCUACCAAUGCCUGGUCUGGCCUAGGCUUGUAAGAAGCAUCAGUGAAAUUCGCGGAUUCACCAUCAAAUAGCUGGUUUGCUUUAACAAAUUCAGCUGUUUUGGUAUACAAGUAAUAAACCUAGUAAAGAAGGCUCGAACCUUUACCGGAUCUUGCUAGAUGUACAGCAAGCAACAUUGGCCGAAUCUUAGCACAUUUUUUUUGGGCUCCCCUGAUACUGAAUCCAGCAACUCCGACAUCACGCUUCAGUAAACGUAGAUCUUUACCUUCUUGGAUCCGAUGGUAAUGCCGCACUCGGGGUCGAGGGAAGCAGCAAUGGCGGCCAUGGCAGCGGCAGCGGAGCGGAAGGUGACGUGUCCGGUGGCUGCGGCGGCGUCUAUGCGAGUGCGCGCGACGGGGCCGUACGCCUCCAGGCGCGACUUUAGCUCUAUCACUCCGCACCCGGGCGGCAGCCCGGCGACCAUCACUAAGGACGGCUGCGGAGCCGCAGCCGGCGCCGGAACCGGAGCUGGAGCGGCCUCCAGCUCGCCGGGCAUCGACUCCAGCGAGCCACGGCGGCGCUUCGCCGGCGGGUCCGGGCUCGUGCGCCCUCGCUUGCCUCUGCGGCGCGAGCGUCGAUUCAUGACUCCAGAUUGAGGGUGAUUGCCGUUUGAGAGUUCAGACUUCCGUUGGUUUUGUGGCGAGGGGCAAUUUGAGAAACAGAAAUGUUACGCUUACAUAAGUUUACACGGGGUUUUACACAGAUCGAUUUUAAUUAGAGGUUAAGAGGGAUGAGGCCUCACCUUUUGAAAAUCAGGUGAAGGUUAGUUAGGAAGAAAGAAAACUAGUCAGCGUGUAACCAUGUGUAACUCUUUGUACGUUUAACAUUUUUGUUUAAGAAAAUGUCACACCUUUCAUGGGACUUUGUUUCCAUAGCACAUAUUUUUUUAUUGGAUUAUAUAUCACACGUUUGAAUGGUAGUUGUAUAAAAUAGUACAAACUGAUUUUUUUCCUACUUUUCUACGUCUAGGACCCUACCUCAUAUUUGUUAGGACGAAUUUGCCCCAGGUCGUUUCCUGAUCAUAUGAGACGAUCACAUAACGAAGCACCGCGUCGGCUUGCCGCACCUCAUCCCGGCGCCGCCCCUCGGCAUGCUAGCUCCCCGGCAAGCCGGGUUAUUAUCGGGCUAGCUACGCACACCCGUACAUAUGCAGCGC
rnacentral:lncRNA from 1 species